AUAAAAAACCAAUGCCUUCGGGCUCCUUGGUGAUUCAUGAUAACUUAACGAAUCGCAUGGCCUUGCGCCGGCGAUGGUUCAUUCAAAUUUCUGCCCUAUCAACUUUCGAUGGUAGGAUAGUGGCCUACCAUGGAUUCAACGGGUAACGGGGAAUUAGGGUUCGAUUCCGGAGAGGGAGCCUGAGAAACGGCUACCACAUCCAAGGAAGGCAGCAGGCGCGCAAAUUACCCAAUCCCAAUUCGGGGAGGUAGUGACAAUAAAUACUGAUACAGGGCUCUUUUGGGUCUUGUAAUUGGAAUGAGUACAAUUUAAAUCCCUUAACGAGGAACAAUUGGAGGGCAAGUCUGGUGCCAGCAGCCGCGGUAAUUCCAGCUCCAAUAGCGUAUAUUAAAGUUGUUGCAGUUAAAAAGCUCGUAGUUGAACCUUGGGUCUGGCUGCCCGGUCCGCCUAACCGCGUGCACUGGUGCGGCCGGAUCUUUCCUUCUGGCUAACCUCAUGCCCUUUACUGGGUGUGCU
rnacentral:rRNA from 1 species